rnacentral:rRNA from 1 species
GGAUAACCUACCCUUAGGACCGGGAUAACCUUGGGAAACUGAGGACAAUACUGGAUAGGCAAUUUUUCCUGUAAUGGUUUUUUGUUUAAAUGUUUUUUCGCCUAAGGAUGGGUCUGCGGCCGAUUAGGUAGUUGGUUAGGUAAUGGCUUACCAAGCCGUUGAUCGGUACGGGUUGUGAGAGCAAGAGCCCGGAGAUGGAACCUGAGACAAGGUUCCAGGCCCUACGGGGUGCAGCAGGCGCGAAACCUCCGCAAUGUGAGAAAUCGCGACGGGGGGAUCCCAAGUGCCAUUCUUAACGGGAUGGCUUUUCUUAGUGUAAAGAGCUUUUGGAAUAAGAGCUGGGCAAGACCGGUGCCAGCCGCCGCGGUAACACCGGCAGCUCUAGUGGUAGCAAUUUUUAUUGGGCCUAAAGCGUCCGUAGCCGGUUUAAUAAGUCUCUGGUGAAAUCCUGCAGCUUAACUGUGGGAAUUGCUGGAGAUACUAUUAGACUUGAGACCGGGAGAGGUUAGAGGUACUCCCAGGGUAGAGGUGAAAUUCUGUAAUCCUGGGAGGACCGCCUGUUGCGAAGGCGUCUAACUGGAACGGUUCUGACGGUGAGGGACGAAAGUUAGGGGCGCGAACCGGAUUAGAUACCCGGGUAGUCCUAACUGUAAACGAUGCGGACUUGGUGUUGGGGUGGCUUUGAGCUGCUCCAGUGCCGAAAGGGAAGCUGUUAAGUCCGCCGCCUGGGAAG